AACGUAGGAGACAAACGUUAUCCGGAUUUACUGGGCGUAAAGGGCGUGUAGGUGGUUUUGUAAGUCUGGCGUGAAAUUUUUCGGCUUAACCGGGAAAGGUCGUCGGAUACUGCAGGACUAGAGGACGGUAGAGGCGUGUGGAAUUCCGGGUGUAGUGGUGAAAUGCGUAGAGAUCCGGAGGAACACCAGUGGCGAAAGCGGCUCACUGGACCACAACUGACGCUGAGGCGCGAAAGCUAGGGGAGCAAACAGG
rnacentral:rRNA from 1 species